rnacentral:rRNA from 1 species
UGGGGAAUAUUGGACAAUGGGGGAAACCCUGAUCCAGCGACGCCGCGUGAGUGAAGAAGUAUUUCGGUAUGUAAAGCUCUAUCAGCAGGGAAGAAAAUGACGGUACCUGACUAAGAAGCCCCGGCUAACUACGUGCCAGCAGCCGCGGUAAUACGUAGGGGGCAAGCGUUAUCCGGAUUUACUGGGUGUAAAGGGAGCGUAGACGGCACUGCAAGUCUGGAGUGAAAGCCCGGGGCUCAACCCCGGGACUGCUUUGGAAACUGUGGGGCUGGAGUGCAGGAGAGGUAAGUGGAAUUCCUAGUGUAGCGGUGAAAUGCGUAGAUAUUAGGAGGAACACCUGUGGCGAAGGCGGCUUACUGGACUGUAACUGACGUUGAGGCUCGAAAGCGUGGGGAGCAAACA